rnacentral:rRNA from 1 species
UACGUAGGUGGCAAGCGUUAUCCGGAAUUAUUGGGCGUAAAGCGCGCGCAGGUGGUUUCUUAAGUCUGAUGUGAAAGCCCACGGCUCAACCGUGGAGGGUCAUUAGAAACUGGGAGACUUGAGUGCAGAAGAGGAAAGUGGAAUUCCAUGUGUAGCGGUGAAAUGCGUAGAUAUCGGGAGGAACACCAGUGGCGAAGGCGACUACCUGGCCUGUUCUUGACGCUGAGGCGCGAAAGCUAGGGGAGCAAACGGG